rnacentral:rRNA from 1 species
CUUAAAUUGAAGAGUUUGAUCAUGGCUCAGAUUGAACGCUGGCGGCAGGCCUAACACAUGCAAGUCGAGCGGAAACGAGUUAUCUGAACCUUCGGGGAACGAUAACGGCGUCGAGCGGCGGACGGGUGAGUAAUGCCUAGGAAAUUGCCCUGAUGUGGGGGAUAACCAUUGGAAACGAUGGCUAAUACCGCAUGAUGCCUAC